UACAGAGGGGGCUAGCGUUAUUCGGAAUUAUUGGGCGUAAAGGGCGCGUAGGCGGCCAUGCGUGUCUUCCGUGAAAUCCCUCGGCUUAACUGAGGACGUGCGGAAGAAACUGCAAGGCUUGAGUCCGGGAGAGGGGGGUGGAAUUCCCAGUGUAGCGGUGAAAUGCGUAGAGAUCCGGAAGAACACCGGUGGCGAAGGCGGUCUGCUGGGCAGUAGCUGACACUGAGGCGCGACAGCGUGGGGAGCAAACAGG
rnacentral:rRNA from 1 species